GACGAACGCUGGCGGCGUGCCUAAUACAUGCAAGUCGAACGCAGUGGGGACGGGUGAGUAACACGUGGGUAACCUCCCAUCAGAGGGGAGAACACUUGGAAACAGGUGCUAAACCGAUACUGGAGGAUGGACUCGGAGGGCAUUAGCUAGUGGGAGGGGUAACGGCUCACCAAGGCCACGAUGCAUAGCCGAACUGAGAGGGUGAUCGGCCACACUGGGACUGAGACACGGCCCAGACUCCUACGGGAGGCAGCAGUGGGGAAUCUUCGACAAUGGACGAAAGUCUGACCGAGCAACGCCGCGUGAGUGAAGAAGGCUUUCGGAUCGUAAAGCUCUGUUGUUAGGGAAGCGUUAUCUAACCAGAAAGCAACGGCUAACUACGUGCCAGCAGCCGCGGUAAUAC
rnacentral:rRNA from 1 species